rnacentral:lncRNA from 1 species
AUAAAGAUUUUUCACUUUGGCAGUAUUUGGUUCAGGAACAAGAGGGAGAAUAAGCUUUUAUUUCCCCCUUUAUUCCCAAAUGUAGUAUUUGAUACCCGAGAAUAGUAGUUUUUGAAUUUCUGAAAUAAACUGGUAUAAGGCUGGAAUUACUAUUCCAUAUUUUCUUAGAACAAGCUUGUUCCCAGGUGGGAUAAUUAAAGUCAAAUUUCAUUUUAAUUAUGAUAUUAAAUCAUUAAUUAAUCUAAUUAAUAUAUUUACAUCAUUAUAUAUUCUUUAAACAAUAAAAUAAUUAAUUAAUUUAUUAUUUAUAAUUAAUUAUUAAUAAUUUGAUGUAUUUCUUCAUAAACUAAUUUUUAUAUUGAUUAACCAUUAAUAUUUCUAUUAAUCUAAUUAAUUUUUUUUACAAGUUAUCUAUCUAAAAUAAUUUAUUAACUAAUUAAAAAUUAAAUUAUUCUGUAUACUUAAUUAAUAUAUAUAUAUAUAUAUAGAACUAGGCUACUAUACUAUCGGUAGCACGGAGCGCUCCGUGCUACCAAGUUGUUUUCGAUGAUGCGGCUUCCAAAUCGACGAUCGGCUCCGU